rnacentral:rRNA from 1 species
CCUACGGGAGGCAGCAGUGGGGAAUAUUGCACAAUGGGGGAAACCCUGAUGCAGCGACGCCGCGUGAGUGAAGAAGUAAUUCGUUACGUAAAGCUCUAUCAGCAGGGAAGAAACACUGACCUUACGGUCAGCAGACGGUACCUGAGUAAGAAGCGCCGGCUAACUACGUGCCAGCAGCCGCGGUAAUACGUAGGGGGCAAGCGUUAUCCGGAUUUACUGGGGGUAAAGGGAGCGUAGACGGUGCGGCAAGUCUGGAGUGAAAUGCCGCAGCUUAACUGCGGAACUGCUUUGGAAACUGGCGAGCUAGAGGGCGGGAGGGGUAAGCGGAAUGCCUAGUGUAGCGGUGAAAUGCGUAGAUAUUAGGAGGAACGCCGGUGGCGAAGGCGGCUUACUGGACCGUAACUGACGUUGAGGCUCGAAAGCGUGGGGAGCAAACAGGAUUAGAUACCCGGGUAGUC